GAGCCCGAGCCCGAGCCCGGCCCAGGGAGGGGCGCGCCCGGCGGCAGGGGGCUGCCCAGAAGGCCAAGGCGACGCGGAGAGCCGCCCCCGCCCGCCUCGCCCUGUUCGCUCUGCACGGCGCCAUAACUUUAGGUAGAAAGAGUCCCAUGUGAAUGUGACAUCUCAGCUGGCCCAUAUGCAUCGGAGACUCGGAUCCAUGGUGUGCAAAUACUCCAAGCCAAGACCCUUGAGGUCAGUGCUACUCCCACAUGACUUGGGCACAUCCAUUCAAGAAACCACUCCUCUGGAUGGUGGCUGCACUCAAGGACACAGUCAGAAAAAAUGUGUUGAAAGCAACCUCAAGGACAAACUUCAUAACAAAUGAGUAGCACAACAACUUAAGGGACCAUUUCCCCCCAUAGGAGAAUUCAUACCUAAAAACCUAAAGAAAAUGAAAGUUGGAAACGAAGUUUGAUACAGUUAAAAAUCUUCAAGAAGAUAAAGAAGAAUCCACAUCUGUAAAACAAAACCGGAAGGGAACCAAGCAAACCCAUGCAGCAGAAAGGGGUACAACUAUCUAGAAUUUUUACUAAAUCAAAGUUAUUGGCAUUGAGAAAUAACCAACUCAAAGGACAAAUUAGUAAGUAGAGCUGAAGAGAGAAUCACUGGAUUAGAAGCAGGAACUGGGGAAAUCCUUCAGAAUGACAUGCAAAAUAAGGGAAUUAAACAAGUGGAAGAAGAAAUAUCACAGAAUGAAUAAGAAUCUUCAGUGUAUGUAUUACCACUCAUAAGAUACUGCAGGGUGACCAAGCUCUCUCCAGAACUGAAACAUGAAUUAGAAGGUCUACAGAAUGUCUACUAGGACAUUACAAAAAAAACUACAUCUAGACACCUUUUAGUCAAAAGUGUAGAAUAUCAAGAAUAAAGAGGAAAUUCUAAAAGCCACCAGAGAGAAAAGAUCACUUAUCUCCAAAGGUUCAAUAAUUGAAUUGACAGUGAACUUCUCAUCAGCAACAACAGAUGCCAAAAGACAGAGGAGCACAUCUUUCAGAGUGCUGAGGGCAAAGAAUUGGGAACCUUAAUUUCCAUCUGUUGCCAAACUGUCGUUUAAAUCAAAGGGCAAAAUAAAGACAUUUGGACAUGUA